AGGGAACUGCAGGGUGAGUGCAGCAGAGUGAAGACAUGAGGAAAAGUCUUCAUCCCUUGGGAAUGUCAUGUGCCACAGAUUGCAAACAAGUUUUGGUGCGGAGAAGAAAAUCCAGGGUCUGCAGUGGAGCUGCAGAUGCAUUAUAGAUGACAAAGAAGAAGUUAAAGACAGCUGCUGGGAUGGAACUUUCACCAGGCGAAAACGCAAGUGAAGAGCAGACUCGGUUGCUGUUUCAAGAGCAGGGGGUUGUCACAGACGGGGCCAUUGCAACAAGGUGGCCGGUGCCCCCGAGAAAGCCUGCUUAUUUAGGUCGAUGAGAAUGACAGUUUGGUGAAAACCCCUUAAAUGUGUUUGACUGAGACCCAAAAUUGUCAUAUGGUCGUAAUUUCUACAUAGUUUCAAAAUGAGACAGUGGUGGGUGUGUUGUGCUGACUAAAUCUCUUAUGUUAAUACUGUAAAUUUUAGCAGCCGAGAAAUGGUUCCAACCUGUCCUCCAAAUGAAACGUAACUAUGGGUCGUUUUGGGCGCUGGUU